rnacentral:rRNA from 1 species
GAUGAACGCUAGCGGCAGGCUUAACACAUGCAAGUCGAGGGGUAACAGGAGUAGCUUGCUACUUGCUGACGACCGGCGCACGGGUGCGUAACGCGUAUAGAAUCUACCUUGUACUAGGGGAUAGCCUUUGGAAACGAAGAUUAAUACCCUAUAGUAAGUAUUUAUGGCAUCAUUUAUACUUUAAAGGUUACGGUACAAGAUGACUAUGCGUCCUAUUAGUUUGUUGGUGAGGUAACGGCUCACCAAGACUUCGAUAGGUAGGGGCCCUGAGAGGGGGAUCCCCCACACUGGUACUGAGACACGGACCAGACUCCUACGGGAGGCAGCAGUGAGGAAUAUUGGACAAUGGAGGCAACUCUGAUCCAGCCAUGCCGCGUGCAGGAUGACGGCCCUAUGGGUUGUAAACUGCUUUUAUGUAGGAAGAAACACUCUCACGUGUGAGAGCUUGACGGUACUACAAGAAUAAGGACCGGCUAACUCCGUGCCAGCAGCCGCGGUAAUACGGAGGGUCCAAGCGUUAUCCGGAAUCAUUGGGUUUAAAGGGUCCGUAGGCGGGCUAUUAAGUCAGAGGUGAAAGUUUGCAGCUCAACUGUAAAAUUGCCUUUGAAACUGGUAGUCUUGAAUUAUUAUGAAGUGGUUAGAAUAAGUAGUGUAGCGGUGAAAUGCAUAGAUAUUACUUAGAAUACCAAUUGCGAAGGCAGAUCACUAAUAAUAUAUGACGCUGAG